rnacentral:misc_RNA from 1 species
CGACCCUCGAGCCCCCCCGUAGCGGGCUCGGUGCUGGGGCGCUACAGCGCGCGACUGCGCUGUAGGCUCCGAAAUCCAGUGGCGGCCUCGCCGAGACCCCGAGCGCAGUAAACCGUGUCUUAGCACAGCGCCUCGCUCAGGGCGUCCGGCGGGUGCCCCGGCCGUAAAACCCCCUAAAUUUUAGAAGG